GUCUUUGUAGUAUAAUAUCAAUAUACUGGUUUUGUAAACCAGAGAAGAGAAUAGACAACCUCCCAAGACACU
rnacentral:tRNA from 1 species